CUAACCGAAUUGUAUACAACAAAUGAGGACACAUUUAGAAGCCAUUGCCUAUAAGAUUAAUAGCAUUUUCAUCGCAAGUGAUUCAACAGCAUGAACGGCGGAAAUGAUGUGAUGUAAUUGUUUCGGAUCAUCAGGUGAACUACGACAUGGGUAAACGAAUUUAAGUGUUGUGUUACACCUGUGAUAUCUGAUACACUGGCCAUCAAAUAGGCAUAUACAAUGUUGCGUUGCAGUUCACCAAACUAGACAGUAAUAGUACUCCCUCCGUAAACUAAUAUAAGAGCGUUUAGAUCACUAAAGUAGUUAUCUAAACACUCUUAUAUUAGUUUACGGAGGGAGUAGUAACUAACAACAAAAAUGUGAUAACGAUGAGACUCCAUUGUUCCAUCAUGUUAAGGGGAAAUCUUGCAUAUGCUUGCUUCAUCUGACAUUAGCUCCUUCCAUCAGAAGAUGCAACAUGCUGUGUUCAUCAGACUCUCCUUCCAUCAGAACUCAGAAGAUGUGGACGAUAUCAUACGCAAAUCUGGUAAGUGUCAAGGAUGAACUCAAGCAAAAAUAUAUCAACACAGGAGCGGUUAAAAUAGGAUGGGGGUGGGUACAGAAAAGCAGUAAAAGGGCUUGAUAUAUUCAGAAAGAAUAGCAC
rnacentral:lncRNA from 1 species